rnacentral:misc_RNA from 1 species
GAUGAAGAACGUAGCGAAAUGCGAUAAGUAAUGUGAAUUGCAUAAUUCAGUGAAUCAUCGAAUCUUUGAACGCACAUUGCGCCCGCCAGUAUUCUGGCGGGCAUGCCUGUUCGAGCGUCAUUACAACCCUCAGGCCCCCGGGCCUGGCGUUGGGGAUCGGCGGAAGCCCCCUGCGGGCACAACGCCGUCCCCCAAAUACAGUGGCGGUCCCGCCGCAGCUUCCAUUGCGUAGUAGCUAACACCUCGCAACUGGAGAGCGGCGCGGCCACGCCGUAAAACACCCAACUUCUGAAUGUUGACCUCGAAUCAGGUAGGAAUACCCGCUGAACUUAAGCAUAUCAAUAAGCGGAGGA